UAGGGAAUCUUCCGCAAUGGACGAAAGUCUGACGGAGCAACGCCGCGUGAGUGAUGAAGGUUUUCGGAUCGUAAAACUCUGUUGUUAGGGAAGAACAAGUAUCGGAGUAACUGCCGGUACCUUGACGGUACCUAACCAGAAAGCCACGGCUAACUACGUGCCAGCAGCCGCGGUAAUACGUAGGUGGCAAGCGUUGUCCGGAAUUAUUGGGCGUAAAGCGCGCGCAGGUGGUUCCUUAAGUCGGAUGUGAAAGCCCACGGCUCAACCGUGGAGGGUCAUUGGAAACUGGGGAACUUGAGUGCAGAAGAGGAAAGUGGAAUUCCAAGUGUAGCGGUGAAAUGCGUAGAGAUUUGGAGGAACACCAGUGGCGAAGGCGACUUUCUGGUCUGUAACUGACACUGAGGCGCGAAAGCGUGGGGAGCGAACAGG
rnacentral:rRNA from 1 species